GAUCAUGGCUCAGGAUGAACGCUAGCUACAGGCUUAACACAUGCAAGUCGAGGGGGCGAGCAUGGUCUUAGCCUGCUAAGACUGAUGGCGACCGGCGCACGGGUGAGUAACACGUAUCCAACCUGCCGUCUACUCUUGGACAGCCUUCUGAAAGGAAGAUUAAUACAAGAUGGCAUCAUGAGUCCGCAUGUUCACAUGAUUAAAGGUAUUCCGGUAGACGA
rnacentral:rRNA from 1 species